rnacentral:rRNA from 1 species
AUGAACGCUGGCGGCGUGCCUAAUACCUGCAAGUCGAGCGAACAGACGAGGAGCUUGCUCCUCUGACGUUAGCGGCGGACGGGUGAGUAACACGUGGAUAACCUACCUAUAAGACUGGGAUAACCUCGGGAAACCGGAGCUAAUACCGGAUAAUAUAUUGAACCGCAUGGUUCAAUAGUGAAAGACGGUUUUGCUGUCACUUAUAGAUGGAUCCGCGCCGCAUUAGCUAGUUGGUAAGGUAACGGCUUACCAAGGCAACGAUGCGUAGCCGACCUGAGAGGGUGAUCGGCCACACUGGAACUGAGACACGGUCCAGACUCCUACGGGAGGCAGCAGUAGGGAAUCUUCCGCAAAGGGCGAAAGCCUGACGGAGCAACGCCGCGUGAGUGAUGAAGGUCUUCGGAUCGUAAAACUCUGUUAUUAGGGAAGAACAAAUGUGUAAGUAACUAUGCACGUCUUGACGGUACCUAAUCAGAAAGCCACGGCUAACUACGUG